rnacentral:rRNA from 1 species
AUUGAACGCUAGCGGGAUGCUUUACACAUGCAAGUCGAACGAGUGGCGGACGGGUGAGUAAUAUAUCGGAACGUGCCCAGUAGCGGGGGAUAACUACUCGACAGCGUGGAUAAUACCGCAUACUACUGGAGCGGCCGAUAGCGGAUUAGCUAGUUGGUGUGGUCAAGGCUCACCAAGGCAACGAUCCGUAGCGGGUUUGAGAGGAAGACCAGCCACACUGGGACGGUGGAACGACCCAGACUCCUACGGUGGGCAGCAGUUGGGAAGUUUGGACAAUGGGGGCAACCCUGAGCCAGCCAUCCCGCGUGUAUGAGAAGGCCUGCGGGUUGUAAAGUACUUUUGGCAGAGAAGCGGUAUCUGAAGAAUAGACACCGGCUAACUACGUGCCAGCCGCCGCGGUAAUUC